AACGAACGCUGGCGGCAGGCUUAACACAUGCAAGUCGAACGCUCCGCAAGGAGAGUGGCAGACGGGUGAGUAACGCGUGGGAACGUGCCUUUUGGUUCGGAACAACUUCGGGAAACUGGAGCUAAUACCGAAUGUGCCCUUCGGGGGAAAGAUUUAUCGCCAAAAGAUCGGCCCGCGUCAGAUUAGCUAGUUGGUGGGGUAAUGGCCUACCAAGGCGACGAUCUGUAGCUGGUCUGAGAGGAUGAUCAGCCACACUGGGACUGAGACACGGCCCAGACUCCUACGGGAGGCAGCAGUGGGGAAUCUUGGACAAUGGGCGCAAGCCUGAUCCAGCCAUGCCGCGUGAAUGAUGAAGGCCUUAGGGUUGUAAAAUUCUUUCGUCGGGGACGAUAAUGACGGUACCCGAAGAAGAAGCUCCGGCUAACUUCGUGCCAGCAGCCGCGGUAAU
rnacentral:rRNA from 1 species